rnacentral:rRNA from 1 species
UACGUAGGGUGCGAGCGUUGUCCGGAAUUACUGGGCGUAAAGAGCUCGUAGGUGGUUUGUCGCGUUGUUCGUGAAAACUCACAGCUUAACUGUGGGCGUGCGGGCGAUACGGGCUGACUGGAGUACUGCAGGGGAGACUGGAAUUCCUGGUGUAGCGGUGGAAUGCGCAGAUAUCAGGAGGAACACCGGUGGCGAAGGCGGGUCUCUGGGCAGUAACUGACGCUGAGGAGCGAAAGCGUGGGGAGCGAACAGG